CUUUAACUGAAUUUAACAUUUUUUAAUCAAUUCAAGUAUUUGCAAUUUAUUUGAAAAAGGAACACAACUCAUUGAGUUCUAUUUUGUCAAACAAAAUGUUCUGGCAUCAACAUUAACAGGUAAGUAUUGCUUUUUUUUUUUUUUUUUUUUGUUUAAGACAGGGUCUUACUCUGUCGCCCAGGCUGGAGUACAGUGGCGCAACUGUGCCUCACUGCAACCUUGAACUCUGGGCUCAGGCAAACCUCCUACCUCAGCUUCUGGGACUACAGACGCACACCACCACGCCCAGCUAAUUUCUUUUAUUUUUUGGCAGUGACAAAGUCUCACUAUGCUGCUCAGACUGAUAUCAAACUCCUACGCUCAAGCAAUCCUCUCGCCUCCACUUCCCAAAGUGCUGAGAUUACAGGCGUGAGUGAGCCACCUGGCCAGGCCCUACAGCCAAGUGAAAAACUGCAAGCAGCAGAAAAAUUUAUCUAAGAGUUUUAAAAGUCUAAACAUCUCAUUCUUUCGCAAUCCAGAUACCAACAGGAGUCUGAAACCCUUCGCAGAGGCGUGCAACACACUAGGAGAGCGCUAUCUGUUUACAAAUACGAAUCUCAGUUACCCACGUCAAAACCGCGCAUUACCACCUUUCGACUGGGGGGCGGGGGAGAGAGAAGGCGGGCGAGCAAGAAACAAAAUCCACACAGACACCUCUGCCUUCUCCCUACAAGGACGAGCCCGGGGAAACAUUCAGUAUGUAUUAUAUGCGUGUAUACAUUUAUAUACAUUAUGUAGUCACCUAUGUCUAAGCAAGGGUGAAAGAAAAAGGUACACAUGACAGGGAAUCG
rnacentral:lncRNA from 1 species